rnacentral:rRNA from 1 species
CCGGCGACCGGCGCACGGGUGAGUAACACGUAUGCAACCUGCCCUCUUCAGGGGGACAACCUUCCGAAAGGGAGGCUAAUCCCGCGUAUAUCGGUUUCGGGCAUCCGAGAUCGAGGAAAGAUUCAUCGGAAGAGGAUGGGCAUGCGGCGCAUUAGCUAGACGGCGGGGUAACGGCCCACCGUGGCGACGAUGCGUAGGGGUUCUGAGAGGAAGGUCCCCCCACACUGGUACUGAGACACGGACCAGACUCCUACGGGAGGCAGCAG